ncrna:Bacteroides sp. 3_1_33FAA c4-2 RNA
UUGCGCCUACCGAGUGGAGAUACGGAAACGCCUCCGACAUUAAUCUUAUGGAUUUGUUAGCAGCUCGUAGUAGGUGCAUUU